rnacentral:rRNA from 1 species
UACAGAGGUGGCAAGCGUUGUUCGGAAUUACUGGGCGUAAAGGGCGCGUAGGCGGCCCGAUAAGUCCCGCGUGAAAGCCCCCGGCUCAACUGGGGAACUGCGCGGGAAACUAUCGGGCUUGAGUUCGGGAGAGGGAAGCGGAAUUCCGGGUGUAGCGGUGAAAUGCGUAGAUAUCCGGAGGAACACCAGCGGCGAAGGCGGCUAUCUGGACGGUUUCUGACGCUAAGACGGCGAAAGCGUGGGGAGCAAACAGG